UACGAAGGGGGCUAGCGUUGUUCGGAAUUACUGGGCGUAAAGGGCGCGUAGGCGGCGUGUCAAGUCAGGCGUGAAAGCCCCGGGCUCAACCUGGGAACCGCGCUUGAGACUGCCAAGGCUAGAAUCUGGAGCAGAGGGGGGUAGAAUUCCACGUGUAGCAGUGAAAUGCGUAGAGAUGACGGACGGAACACCGGAUGGCGAAGGCAGCCCCUGGGUCAAGCAUUGCGCUCAUGCACGAAAGCGUGGGGAGCAAACAGG
rnacentral:rRNA from 1 species